rnacentral:rRNA from 1 species
AACGCAGCGAAGGGCGAUAAGUAAUGCGAAUUGCAGAAUUCAGUGAGUCAUCGAAUCUUUGAACGCACAUUGCGCCCUUUGGUAUUCCAAAGGGCAUGCCUGUUUGAGCGUCAUUUCUCUCUCAAAAUCUUCGGAUUUGGUUUUGAGUGAUACUCUUAGUCAGACUAGGCGUUUGCUUGAAAUGUAUUGGCAUGAGUGGUACUAGAUAGUGCUGAACUGUUUCAAUGUAUUAGGUUUAUCCAACUCGUUGACCAGUAAAGUAUUUGUUUAUUACACAGGCUCGGCCUUACAACAACAAACAAAGUUUGACCUCAAAUCAGGUAGGACUACCCGCUGAACUUAA